rnacentral:rRNA from 1 species
GACGAACGCUGGCGGCGUGCUUAACACAUGCAAGUCGAACGGAAAGGCCCUGCUUUUGUGGGGUGCUCGAGUGGCGAACGGGUGAGUAACACGUGAGUAACCUGCCCUUGACUUUGGGAUAACUUCAGGAAACUGGGGCUAAUACCGGAUAGGAGCUCCUGCUGCAUGGUGGGGGUUGGAAAGUUUCGGCGGUUGGGGAUGGACUCGCGGCUUAUCAGCUUGUUGGUGGGGUAGUGGCUUACCAAGGCUUUGACGGGUAGCCGGCCUGAGAGGGUGACCGGCCACAUUGGGACGGAGAUACGGCCCAGACUCCUACGGGAGGCAGCAGGGGGGAAUAUGGCAAAAUGGGCGGAAGCCUGAUGCAGCAACGCCGCGUGCGGGAGGACGGCCUUCGGGUGGUAAACCGCUUUCGCCUGUGACGAAGCGUGAGUGACGGUAAUGGGUAAAGAAGCACCGGCUAACUACGU